UGUACGGACCAUUUAUUUUAAUCACUCAUCAAUCACCUGGUUUGUACGGACCAUCUAUUUUAAUCACCAAUCAAUCACUUGCGGCUUCUGCCAGCAAGCUAGCGGCUAAGCUAAAAGGAGCUAGCAGGCUAACGCCAGCACACCUGUGCCAUGUCACCUGUGCGUGGCCGUGGACGACAAGAAGUUAGCUAGCUAGCUAGCGAGCCCCCCGGUGGCCCUGCGUUACCUCGGAAGCGGAGUUCGUGUUGCGGCUCCAGCAGCAGGACUUGCUCGGGUCUGGCCAUGUCCCACAGCUUCUUCCGAGACUGACUCACAGAGGGGCGGCCGUCCACCGACUUCCUUGCGGGCGAGAAGGCGGACUAGGGCCGGCCGGUGAAAGACUGGCAGCUUCCGCAAGCUAACGUGCUAAUGCUAAA